GGUACGAGAUGGGCCCGCGGCCUAUCAGCUUGUUGGUGGGGUAAUGGCCUACCAAGGCGACGACGGGUAGCCGGCCUGAGAGGGCGACCGGCCACACUGGGACUGAGACACGGCCCAGACUCCUACGGGAGGCAGCAGUGGGGAAUAUUGCACAAUGGGCGCAAGCCUGAUGCAGCGACGCCGCGUGAGGGAUGACGGCCUUCGGGUUGUAAACCUCUUUCACCAGGGACGAAGAGAAAUUGACGGUACCUGGAGAAGAAGCACCGGCCAACUACGUGCCAGCAGCCGCGGUAAUACGUAGGGUGCGAGCGUUGUCCGGAAUUACUGGGCGUAAAGAGCUCGUAGGCGGUUUGUCGCGUCGUUCGUGAAAUCUUGAUGCUUAACAUCAAGCGUGCGGGCGAUACGGGCAGACUUGAGUACUACAGGGGAGACUGGAAUUCCUGGUGUAGCGGUGAAAUGCGCAGAUAUCAGGAGGAACACCGGUGGCGAAGGCGGGUCUCUGGGUAGUAACUGACGCUGAGGAGCGAAAGCGUGGGUAGCGAACAGGAUUAGAUACCCUGGUAGUCCACGCCGUAAACGGUGGGUACUAGGUGUGGGUCCCUUUUCACGGGAUCCGUGCCGUAGCUAACGC
rnacentral:rRNA from 1 species